rnacentral:lncRNA from 1 species
AAAAAAAGGAGAAAAUGAGCAUCACAGGGUGUGGGUAGGUAAAAGUAGGCCAGCACUUCCUUCGGGGAGGGAUAGGCUGUGUGUCCAGCUCCCAGGGAGCUCUAGAAAGAACACGCUUGGGUCUCUGGCCUCAGGUGCUAAGUUACCAUCCUUUCUCCAGUGUCCUGAGGACAGAGAAGUACAAAACCCAACAGAAUGAAGAGAAGGAGUGUCUAGGAAGGGGCAUUCUAGCCGUGUGGCAUUGGAUCUGUUUGUCCAUCUGUAAAAUGGAGCCCAGAAAGCCUACAUCCCUGGAUCGCUAUGAAGAUUAAAUAAUGCCAGCCUGCUGCAGGACACAGUCCCUCCUAGUCUUGUCACUAAAGCUCCUCUCAAGUCACACAGAGGAGAACUGUGCCCUCUGCUUACCUCUAACCUCAGGAGCAGCAGAUUUAUUCACCAGAGCCCAGGUUAACAACUAGGACUUUUCUGGACCAUGCACCAACC